rnacentral:tRNA from 3 species
GCUCCCAUCGUCUAGAGGCCUAGGACGCGGCCCUCUCAAGGCUGAAACACGGGUUCGACUCCCGUUGGGAGCGCCA